GUGGGGAAGGAUGAGAAGCUUCGACUAAGGUUCGAUUCGAGCGCAGCGAGAAAGCGUUGCCGCAGGCAACGACCCGAAGGGCGAAGCGCGCAGCGCUGAGUCAUCCUUCCCCCACCACCA
rnacentral:sRNA from 1 species